rnacentral:rRNA from 1 species
AUAUCGGAACGUACCCUAGAGUGGGGGAUAACGUAGCGAAAGUUACGCUAAUACCGCAUACGAUCUAAGGAUGAAAGUGGGGGAUCGCAAGACCUCAUGCUCGUGGAGCGGCCGAUAUCUGAUUAGCUAGUUGGUAGGGUAAAAGCCUACCAAGGCAUCGAUCAGUAGCUGGUCUGAGAGGACGACCAGCCACACUGGAACUGAGACACGGUCCAGACUCCUACGGGAGGCAGCAGUGGGGAAUUUUGGACAAUGGGCGAAAGCCUGAUCCAGCAAUGCCGCGUGAGUGAAGAAGGCCUUCGGGUUGUAAAGCUCUUUUGUCAGGGAAGAAACGGAGAGCUAAUAUCUCUUGCUAAUGACGGUACCUGAAGAAUAAGCACCGGCUAACUACGUGCCAGCAGCCGCGGUAAUACGUAGGGUGCAAGCGUUAAUCGGAAUUACUGGGCGUAAAGCGUGCGCAGGCGGUUUUGUAAGUCUGAUGUGAAAUCCCCGGGCUCAACCUGGGAAUUGCAUUGGAGACUGCAAGGCUAGAAUCUGGCAGAGGGGGGUAGAAUUCCACGUGUAGCAGUGAAAUGCGUAGAUAUGUGGAGGAACACCGAUGGCGAAGGCAGCCCCCUGGGUCAAGAUUGACGCUCAUGCGCGAAAGCGUGGGGAGCAAACAGGAUUAGAUACCCGGGCACGCCACGCCCUAAACGAUGUCUACUAGUUGUCGG